rnacentral:lncRNA from 1 species
GAAAUUCCCCUUUCUUAUCUCUCUCAAACUGCAUUAUAAUCUUCUCAAUGGUCUCCAUCUACUCAUCGAAAUCUCUUCAAAUUUUUGGUUUUUCUUAUAAAAUUAUAUGGAGACUAAAUGGAAACAGAAAAUAUGAAUCCAAUGAUAUAAAAAAACCCACAAACAAAACACAACAGGUGAGUCAUUCACAUCAAAGGCUAACGUAACUAAAAAGUGGCAUGGAGAAAUUGAGGAAUAAGAGAAAACUAAGUAAAUCAAAAGAUCUAAUUUUUUUGUGACAUUGAACAAGAAAAUAAAAACUUAGCUAGAGAAAAAUUGCAAGAAGAAUGUAAAUCCACAUAGAAGGAGGAAAGAAUCCAAAGAAGAGAGAGGGAUAGAGCGCCUGGAAAGAGCUAUCAUCAUGAGGGAGAGAGAUAUCAAUUAAUCUCUCUUUAGUUGCAGAGAGAUCAGCGUGAGGAAAAUAGCGCCUAGAGAGAGAAAACCGUAGUUGCAGAGAGAGGGAGAUAGCUCCCAGAGAGAGAAAAUCAGGUAAAAUGCUCAAAGAGAAAUUGGAGAAGACUACAGUAGGCUCGUGUGAAGCAGAUAGAGAGAGAAAACCAAGUAAAA